UUUUGUGACGGGAGGGGAGGGAAAGCCAAGUGACCCGCGCAAGGAGAGUCGGAGGGGGUGACUGCCAGGAGCACCUCCCGGAGCGCCUGUGCAGUACACCGCAUUCAUUUCCCAACACAACGCUCUAUUCAGCAGAGGUUUCGAGCCAAACCAAAAAAGAGCAAAAGAAAUACUUCCUAGAAAAGAGGUGGGAUCCAGUCGCGGGCUGCGGGAUUGCGGGGUCCGCGGCGGCCUCCGCUCCCGCCUGGCGCCCAACGUGGCCCCACCGCCGCUUCGCUCCGGCCGCGCCGCUGCCGCCUCCGGAGCCGGCGGGGAGCCCGGCGGGCGGGAGAGCCCGGAAGGAGCCCGGGGCGCUCAGGCCCCCGCCGGCGCCGACACCGCCCGCCGGGAGCAGCCGGCCUGCUCCGGGGGACUGAAGCCGCGCGGUUCCGGGGCGACCCUUUCUCCAACGUGAGCAGAUCCCUGCAGCCCCCAGUGCACGUCGCCCGGCAGCGCUUAAUGGAUUACUGCAGCCGCCCCGGCCGACCGCUGCCUCCCGCUCGGCAGCCUUCGGCCUGGUUCUUCUGCUUUAGAAAAAGGCCUUUCCUCCUGGCGUUUGCUCAAACCGCCAAACUUCAGGCCAGUCCUUCAGCCAUACCGUUUCCGGAUUUUGUUACACCCGUGCAGCCCGUUCGAGGGCUCUGAGGGGUCCAGCGGCUCAGCAGAGAUUGGUCAAAUAAAUAAAUAAACGGAUAAACUGAAGGGAUUUUCUGCCUGAACUUGC